AGAAGAAAGAAGAUUUCUAGGGAGAUCCUAGAGUGCUAAUAUAGCAACCUCCUAAACUUGCUGCCUGAAUUACAGUGUUUUGCACGUGCAGCUUUGCAUAGCUCCGGAGUUCUUUGUCUUUACUUUUCUGUUUUGUUUGCAGUCAUUUCUUGAUCAUUUCUUCUUUCCAGGACAAAAUAACUGCAGUUAUUACUCGUCUGUAAGGAAACCUUUCUGUGUUUGCCUAUCACAGGAACAAGAAUUUCAUCCGCAGUUGCUGAAUUUUUCAAAGUGAAGGAAAAAGGACAUUAGAUAGAUUCUAAGUGAGAUGUUGAACACCUUGAGCUAUCAGUGAACUGAAUACUGCAACCAGUAGGAUGCUAUCUUAGUAGAACAAAUGGAGAUGCAGAUGUAGUGGAAGGCAGUUUACUUCAGUAAAAUGUAAGUGGAGAAAAUGCACACAGAAACUAC
rnacentral:lncRNA from 1 species